AUCCAAAUUUCCUGUAUGAUCUGUUCCCUGCGCUCAAUUCUUUCAGCCAGUUCUGCUGCCUCUGCUGAGUUAUAACCUGAGUAACAAGGACACAGUUGCAUUCUAUGUGUGCCUCAGCUGCCUCUGCACACUCAUCAAUCACUUCUCAGUGACAACACCUGGGCGAGGCAUGGAUAAUGGGAGGGACAAGAGGCCAGGACAGGGUCCCCAUCCCAAGCCAGACAGUGCUCUCAGCUGUAUUUGCACUGCUCCACCAAGGCAUUUUUUUUCCCUCUGAUGAUUGGCCCAGUGUAUCUCCCUGGGAGUUCUUGAGUCAGUGCUUUACCAAAGUCUGAUAUCUGACAUCUGCCCCUGCCAAACUACAGUGGUCAUUAAACUGGCAGCAAGCACCCUGAAGCUGCAGACACAGCAGAGAGCUAAGGAGCUGGAGGCUGUUCCUGGACAAUAGCAGACCUCCAAGUCCUGGACCCCUGCAUGUCAGGGAAGACUUCACUAGCUCCUGGAUGGCCAAGGAGAUUCCCUUUCCCUGAAGAGCAGGGCAGAGGGAGGGCUGGAACACAACUCGCACGGACGGAGUGAGGUCAUGGCUCUAUGUGCACUUGGGCUGGGCAGUCAGAAGACUUGUGAGUUUUGGGGUUUCUUAUCCUGAGCAAAGAGAAUCAUAACCAGACCCUAUGAAAAACCUUAGAUGACUGAGUGUUUUAAACCUAAUAUUGGAGUUUUUUCAUUGUUUUCUGGGAUGGGUAAUGAAGGGGGAGAUGGUAUUCAGCUGCACCAAUUACUUUUCCAAGUGUCAUUCUGUAAUGAGGAAGACUAUAAAAGUUCCUUUUUUUUCAGAAAUAAUAAAUGUCACUCUUUAAAACAAUAUGAAACUAUACCAAAAAAGUUAACUACCAUGAGAAUUGCCUAAAUUAGAAGACCUUGGCAAUACUGCAGUGUCCCAUUAACAUCUCUACACCGCUGUGUGAAAGCCCUGCUAGGUGCUUUCCCAUUUAUCCAGGACACCCACUCAUAAACAAUGAAGUAUGAGGUGUUCUGCAUCUAGAAUCAUGUACAAGAUGUUAGAGAAUGGCUCAGAAGUUAAGCAUAAAGCACACAGGAACAAAAAGAUCCGAUUGAUUUGGAGGCCAGAAGGUAUCAUCCCACCCAGCUAUCUAAUGCAGACUACACAGUCAUUGUAAUUUUUUACUGAGACUCAAAACACCAGCACAGAAUCCAAGCAUAAUCCUUUCUUCCCGAAUUACCCAAAUUAGUCACAGCAUCCACUGUGUUGAUGAACUUUAUCUAAAAGAACAUAGAGCACCACAGAACCACACAAAACACUGAGGCUGAGCAGCUGAACAAAACUUUGAGCCUUACUGAUCACUUUUUACUGAAAAGAAGGACUGAUAAACAAUUAAAAAGAUGACUGACAAAAAUAACUGGCAUAGGAGUUUGAUUUUGUAUGAAAAAAGAAUUCUGAAGAGGUUAUAGCUUCUCAUACUUAACCACCUGCUCCUGGCAUAAUGAAUAGCAAUGAUAAGGGUAUCAGUGGUCCUGAAGGUAUGGAAAUACAGAUUUAAAAAAAAACCAAAACUAUUUUUUUUCACUUUAAACCACUGAAAAUCUGGGAACUUAGAAAGUUCUGUGUAUGUUCUGUUUAGUUCAACUUCUCUGCCCUGGCAUGAGCUCCCCAGAUGCAUGGAUCAAGAAGAAGAGUAUUUCAGGCUGUGAGCCCAAUGCCCAGUACACACUAAAAGCAAUCCCAGCAUUGGCUCAGGUAAUGUCUUUUGGGUAAGAAAGCAGCUUUGCAAUGCAGUAUUUUUAGAGGCAGAGGCUGAGUAGUCAAGUUGUGAAGGUUCUCAGAACUGGGCCUUCAUACAGAUUUAGUAACAUCAAUUCCUGUGCAUCGUUCAAUUUAGUUUAAUUAGCACAGAAAUUUGCUAGCUCAUUUUAAAGACACACCAAUCUAUUUGAGAUCAAAAUAGAUCAAAAUAGCACACAUAUUGUUGUGGGAGUCCCGGAAGGCUAAUCCAUCUGGUAAAUCUCCAUCAGCUCCCACAGUUCUGUGAAGAAUUGUGCCAACACUCAUUAAAAAUACACAAGCCAGAUUGGUGAUUUUGAAGGAAGAGAUUUUGUGCAGUGAUAACAGAAUAGUUAAUAAACUCUAAUACAAAACACCAUUAGAAGCACAACUCUGAUAUUGAUUGGUGUUUGGGAUCCAGCUGCAGUACUUCUCCAGCAAUAUUUUUUCUGUUGGUUUGUGAAGGGAGCAUUGAGAAAAAAUUAACUCCGGAUUUUCAGCCCCAAUCCUAUCUGCCAUACCCUCUUGCUGGUUUCGAGGCAGCUAUGCCACAGAUCAUACUGUGCCAGGGUUACUCUGUCCAUAGGGACAAGGAUCUGCCUCUUGACAUUCCCUUUCACCUGGUUGUCAGCAAAUGCUGCCCGUGGCAGCUCUUUUUUAGGAUUAGUAAUUGAGGAGGGCAAAAUGUUACCCAGGAAAGAGACUGUUUUUAGAAUUCAUGACACUAUGUUUCUUGCUUCAUCAUUUUAUUCGUUUUUAUCUAAGUGCCUUGUAAACAUCCUGUUUGACUCAUUCUAGCCACACUCCGUAUCAGUCUUUAAUCAGUAAGAAAUACACUUAGAUAGAAGCAUUGUUUAUUCUUCUUGCUGUUCAGAAUAUUGCACGACAGCUUUACUCAGCAGAUGCACAUAAAAAUCUUUAAUUCCUUAAUAUAUGCCUUCUUGUGUAGUCACCAAUAUGAUUUAAUUUCCUUCCAUGGCUUGUUUUUUCAGCGUGCCUUUCUCCAUUCUUCCUCUCAACUCUUGCUCUCUUUGCUUGUGACUACUAUCUUACCAACUUCAACCUUUCACUUGUACUGCAAAGAUGGCAUGAAAAGUUGGAUUUCUGUGCAAGUAAAAUAUUUUUGCCUAUAAUCACUCUAUUUCUUGUACUAUCUAAAUCUUCCUUUAAGCAAGGCUAGAUGUUUACCUGGAAAAACUAGGGAUAAUCUAAUUUCACUAAUAAGAUAGUGACCACAAAACCCUGUUCCAUUUCCAAAUGCCUACUUUGGUUUCAGAGCACUCAGAGCUGUUGCAUUUCUUAGAAUUGGUCCUUGAGAGUUUUCAGGUGCCCAUUUCUAAAGGAAAUUAAGCUUAUGAGAUCCUGACCUCUGUCCAUCUGUCAUUCCCAUACUCAACACCUUUUAAGCUUAAUGGCCAGUUUCAAACCUGAAGGAUGCAGGGCUCAAAGAAAUAAAUUUCCUACAAGUUUCAUGGAAAUUGAAGCCUGAGCUGUGACUUUCAAUUCAGUCUCAAUGACUAAAGCUGCAAGUGAAUUGGCAGCUGGAGAGACAGAAUGGUUAUCCUGGAGAGCCAUCAGCCUGAUGCCAAUGGAGCAAUUUGUUUCCACUGGCCUUACUGACAGAUGAAGGAUUAAGCCUGCAAGAAGAAAAUGCUUAAGUUAGUAGAGAGGAUGCUUUCGGGAUAGUAUGGCAAUCAAGCAGUGGUCGAGAUACCAGUCAGGUUUUCCAUGAACUGUUUUAUCCACAUGUAUGCUUUCCUAAGGAGGUUACCUUCAUUUUUUUUUCCCCCUCAUGGAUCACAACAUGAAUCAUAACCGUCUUACUGAAUCUAAUUCCCACAGUGUGUUAAAUCUUAGGGUCAAAUUAAGAAAUUAAGCAAAUUGCACAAGAGCUUGGUUCCACUUAAGCAAGAGAAAAGGCCAAGUAAGCAGCAGGUAAUUCAGCACAAAACCUUAUUCACACUCCCAUUUAAACAGGGUUUAUUCAGAAAGCAGCAGCACACACAAGAAGCCAAGCUGUGAGCUCUUCCUAGAAAAACAAAGCCAAGACAUAUGGAUAAAGCACAGACCUGUAACUUUUUGGUCCCAGUUUCUCCAGGAAACCACACAGCCUCUUCCUUUCUCUGUGCCACUCAGCUCAGACUUGCAGUUAAGUGAGUGACAUUUUUCCAGAGUGGGAAAGCCCAUGAAUCCUGCACUUACAUACCACAUACCUGUUCUGUUUCUCACAUCCUCCCACAGGUGUUCUCUAUCCUUCAGAUCUACAUUUUCACAUUCCCUUGUGUUGUCUCCUAGGAGUGAUGCCUGGUUUAUUGCAUCCCAAUGGCUUUUUGAGGAAAUUGGGAUGCUGUGCACUUCUGUCUUCUCAUUUGCUUUCUGUUUUUAUUUCCUUCUUGUGUCAGAAAGAGGCAAAUUGUUCUUGAUCCCCAAAAUCUUGGGUAUGUAAUAAACUCCACCCUAUAGUCAGUUAUACUUCUCUCAGCUAUUCCAUGAAGCCAGAAGGGCAAACACUCGUCCUGGGACCUAAUAUGGAACUAUUCCAGUAGAAAAGGAAGAUUUGUUCCAUCCCAUCUACAGAAGCUGACAAGAAGCAUGGGUUAAGAGAGACUUUAAGGAUCUUUUCUGCCCUUGCCAAAAAUCCUCCUUUUAACUGGAGAAAGAGUAGCCUCUUCUAGUGCCAUUAACAAGAAGUAAUAAGAGAAAGGCUCUGUGGGCAGCAACUGUUUCUGGAGACAGAAUGAGAAGCUCUUUAUGACCAAAGACAAAAAACUUGUAAUAUCCCAAAGACUGAAAGUAGAAGAACCUCAGGAACUAGAGGAAAAUGUUUGUCUGAAAACUCAGAGUUAUGAUCAUGAUCCUCCAUGUUCAUGUUCCCCAAGAGAGCCAGGGGGCUGUUCAUUGCCAGCUAAGAAAACUAAGCACAGGUUUUGUUUUGUAAACAGAACUUAGAUGCAAGUUCUGCAUUUUUUUUGUAUCCCCACUUAUAUUUGACAUUCAAAAUAAAACUAGAAAAACAGAAAAAAAAUAGAAAAAAAAAUAAAUCAGAAAUCUGGCAGCUCAGAGACCUGCAGUGCUAUGAUGGUUUACAGUACAGUAAGUCCAAGCUAGAAAAGCAAAAACACACCCCCCCAUUUCACUCUCAGUGACUGAUGAUUUUCUUUACAACAUUUCUUUGUCCUCCACUCAGUACUAGCGUGAAGAAAUAAGAAGUUAAAAAUCACAAAAUUAUUCUGAAAUAAUAAUUCUUGUCUUCCCAUCUAAGAUUAAAUACAAUAAAGAAAAACAAACAGAUAUUUGUGGAUUGAGACCCUCAUCCAAAGCCCAGUGAAAUCCUUGGGAAUGCUUCCAGUGACCCUAGGCUUUCAUUUAGGUCUCAUAUAGUGAGUGAUGUUUUAAAAUUAAUUCUAAAUUAAGAGCCAAACCUCACUGGUAUUUAAUUUGUUGCCAGAAGCCACACAAUAGACCUUUGAAGCAAAACUCUUAAAAUGCCUAGAAAUUCAGAUUAAAUGACUCACCAAUGCUGAACAAAUAAGGCACAACCACGCCUCCUUCUGCUCUUCAGCUCUCUUAAGACACUAUUUUCUCUGUGUUGGGUAAUAUAGCAAAAUAUUUCAUUUUUAAUUGUAGAUUAUGGCUGGCAGAUGACAGAAUUCUGCUAAGUGGUGACUGGUCAGACAGUGCCUUCUCUGUCUGCGGACACUUCCAACAAAAGCUGAAUAUUUAUAUAGAAAAAGUCUGUAGUCCCUUUCUCCAACAAAGCUGAGACUGGAAGCUUUGCCUAACUGGGAAGGAUAUCAGCAGCAGGUGGAACAGGAAGGCAGGGGGGAUCUAAUCCCUGCUAUUUAUUUUAAAUAAAAAUAGCAUAUGGUGUGUCAGGUGCCAGCAAUCUGCCCAGGGAGAACAGAGAGAGUUCUGCCCCAAACUUCCUGCCCUGAAGUUGUGAAAAUCUGAUAGAACUCAAACAUGUUGGUCUCUAAGUGGUGAAGCUCAGGAACUCAGGUUUUGUGUCCCGUGUCUGAAUUCUCCAAUGUCUGUAGGGGCAAAAGCAUCACACUACCUUUUAAUUCAUUUUGGGAGAGCUUUGGGGGCAGCAUCCCUUCUUGGGGAUGAAGACCUAGCUUACUUAAAGGCCUCACAAAAUGUGUAAGAACUUGACAGGACUAAAGCUUUUACUUCUCUAACAAGGAUAAAUCUCAUCAGUGGAUUUAACAAAAAAUAUUAGCAAAUCUAAAAUGUGGUUUCCUAAGUUACACUUCCUCAGAAAGGCAAAAAGAACUGCAGGGACAAGCCUGAAACAAAACCUUGGGUCUGUGCAUCAUGAUCUAAACUAAAAUCUCAGUUCUGACACACACCUCUUUAUUCCACAGAACAAAUCUCAGACCAAAGCCCACUUCACUCGGAGAAACUUUAAACCAGACUUUGAGGUUUAACUCACACAUUACUAAAAUUAAACACAUUUCAAAAAUGAAAUGUUUUUCUUUAAAUAAAUCAAUGAACACUUGACUUUUACAAGGCAGUAUUGAGAUGAUGCAUCAUUGCAUCACUCCUUCUAGCACUUCUUUAAAUAUCCUGGUUGAAGGACAUGCUACAAUUGCCAGAGUGAGUCAACAAAACUGACUCAAGAAAAUUUAUAUAGAAUUUUAUCUGACCAACACAAAGCCAACAAAAAAAAGCCUCUGCAUCAUUGUGGUUGGUAGUGAUUGAUCCUGCCACGUUACUACAAACAAAGCAUUUGCUCAAAGCAUUUGUUUGCUUUCCUUUUACCUGGGGGAAUCUGGGAUGGGUGAAUGCCACAGAACUUAAUGGAAACUUUUAAUGCAGAAAGGUUACAGGAGCAGAUUAUAUUUCUUGGGUGAACUGGUUUACUUUUUCAUUAGAUCCACUUGUUUCUGUGGUUGGGUCAGGAGACCAAGUCUAUGGAGUUAGAGUGAUGCUCAGUUCUGUCUGAACUGUUUUGGAGGAAAAGACAGAAAACUUGACACCAGAGGAAGAGAUUAAAAGGUUCUACCCCUAAGCAGUGGCUGCUUUCUGUUCACAUCCAGAAAGUAAUUUCUCACUCCAGUUAUGCAAUCACAAUUACUUCAUUUUUGAUCUUCAGUUACAGCCACAUUUCUUGAAAGCUGCCCAGAAAACCUGGCUGGGACUCAGGUAAAGAAAGAGAGACUGGUGAGUGAGCCGAGGAGGCGAGGUCAAGCCUGAGCUCAGAGCAGCAAGGAGAACAGAGAAAGAAGGAAGGAGCAUUAAAAAAUGGUGAAUGGGUGUUCCUCAGUGUUGCCAGAGAGGAGUUUGUUCCCAGAUGGGUCAGUUCACUUUGUCAGCAGAGAGGGAAAAGGUGGGAGAAGGAGUGGGGAUAGGAUGGAGAGCUGAGGCCUUUUCCCACUGCCAGCAUGGAGAGCAAGAGGAUGAGAGCAGAUGAGGAAUAGUGAUCCUUGCCGUUGAGAAGGUACCCACAAAAUGCCACCAUCCCCAGCCAACCCAGCUCUCCUCCAGCAGCUGGGCUUUUUAUAACACCAGGACACCCACAGUGUGAAAUACUGGAAAGAAGUUUGCUGGUUUUUCCAGCUCCUUCUUUCACCUGUUUUGGGAACCAGUCCUUGAACAUAGAAGAGUUGUGAGGAAAUGGCUGUCAUGAGGCCUUGAUGUCCUGAAAAAUGGCUCUUCUGACACUGUCCUGGGAGCCCAGAGUAUUCAGAGACUGGAGAAGCAGCAAAAUUCACAGCAGCCCCCUGGAAUGGGACCUAAUCCAAAAUGUGAAAGCUACGAGUGAUCACUGAGAAAAUAAAGAAAUAUUUUAGUAAAGGAUGUGUUUUGAAGAAACAGGCAUGAGGGGAAGAAAAUUCUGUAGUUGUAGGAUCAUGAUGGUCUAAGGAAAGAACUGUGGAUUAAAUCUCUCUCCUUCCAAA